AUCUAUUUGACGAGUCCCAAAUGGUACGAAACGCGCUUCCUGGAU
rfam:Schistosoma margrebowiei strain Zambia genome assembly, scaffold: SMRZ_contig0006171